UUUCAACGGAGAGUUUGAUCCUGGCUCAGGACGAACGCUGGCGGCGUGCUUAACACAUGCAAGUCGAGCGGUAAGGCUCCUUCGGGAGUACACGAGCGGCGAACGGGUGAGUAACACGUGAGUAAUCUGCCCUCCACUUUGGGAUAAGCCUCGGAAACGAGGUCU
rnacentral:rRNA from 1 species